rnacentral:rRNA from 1 species
AGUGAACGCUGGCGGUAGGCCUAACACAUGCAAGUCGAACGGCAGCACAGUAAGAGCUUGCUCUUACGGGUGGCGAGUGGCGGACGGGUGAGGAAUACAUCGGAAUCUACUUUUUCGUGGGGGAUAACGUAGGGAAACUUACGCUAAUACCGCAUGCGACCUACGGGUGAAAGCAGGGGAUCUUCGGACCUUGCGCGAUUGAAUGAGACGAUGUCGGAUUAGCUAGUUGGCGGGGUAAAGGCCCACCAAGGCAACGAUCCGUAGCUGGUCUGAGAGGAUGAUCAGCCACACUGGAACUGAGACACGGUCCAGACUCCUACGGGAGGCAGCAGUGGGGAAUAUUGGACAAUGGGCGCAAGCCUGAUCCAGCCAUGCCGCGUGGGUGAAGAAGGCCUUCGGGUUGUAAAGCCCUGUUGUUGGGAAAGAAAAGCAGCAGAAGAAUACCCCGCUGUUCUGACGGUACCCAAAGAAUAAGCACCGGCUAACUUCGUG